UACGGGGGGGGCAAGCGUUGUUCGGAAUUACUGGGCGUAAAGGGCUCGUAGGCGGCCAACUAAGUCGGACGUGAAAUCCCCAGGCUCAACCUGGGAACUGCGUCCGAUACUGGAUGGCUUGAAUCCGGGAGAGGGAUGCAGAAUUCCAGGUGUAGCGGUGAAAUGCGUAGAUAUCUGGAGGAACACCGGUGGCGAAGGCGGCAUCCUGGACCAACACUGACGCUGAGUGAGCGAAAGCCAGGGGAGCAAACGGG
rnacentral:rRNA from 1 species